ACUGGCUCCCUCCACAGGGACGGCACCCGAUACUGAUGCCCUCCCGCUUCGAGCUGCGGAAGGACUGGGUGAAAUGUGGAACAGCAACACUAAACUCACAUCGCCAUGAUUCCAUUUGGAAGCAGUUAUGAAUUCCUGAAAUCCAUCCUCAAUUAAGAUCCAAGGUGUAGGAUGAGCUUCGAUGCAAGCCUUGAAGACUGGAUACAUGCAUUGAGUAAAAUACAAGAAGAAAGUGUAAAAACCUAGAUGGAUAAAAUAUAGUUUCACAUAAAAUUGCUAUAGACCUUUGUUUCACAGUUAAAAUAAUAAUGGUGGUGUUUGACACAAACAUUGUGACAAUAGUAAUAACAUAAAUCAGUAAAAUGCAGGCUCAAGGCAAACUGUAAGGGCGGCUGCUGGCAAGCUGGUGGGAGCAGCAGACGACCGGUGCAACAGCUGCUCCUGCACAGAAACAUUUCCUAUUUCUGCCCAAGGAGGAUCGUAUGACUCUCACUUUAUCACCCUUAGAGGCCAUCUGAAGGACAAAGCAGAUACAACCCGUAAACACAACUAAUGUUUUUAUAUAGUGGGCAGAAGGGAAAACAACUUCGCAAAGGCAUCCCCUGUGAACGUGACAAGGGGACGACAAGCAGAGACUGGAAACGAUUGUCCUGUCAGUGGCAUUGAGGGCAGCAGUAACCCUACUCCACCCGUCCAGAAUCACAAGGAGAGUUCCCUCUGCCGGGCCGUGGCUGGCAUCGUCUCUGUCACUGCAGUCGCGGGUUUUGUCAUUCACUCACAAUCCCACGUAUGCCGUUUUCCGAAGCAGCUCAGGACACUGAAUCCCGCUCUGCCUGUGAUCUUUCGUAAUAAAACCCAGUUAACAGAACAACUGGAGGUCAGAGCAGUGCACAGCCUCCUCCGACCCGACCCUGGUUGGAAUGGGUUAUUUUAUUUGAGUGCGUUUGACAUUAAAAAGUCUAGCGGUCUUAUUAUUUCUUUCAUUUGACACUUGUUUUUUUUUCUGUAUCUGUUACACUGUAACCCCAAAGUCAUUCUAAAAAAAAUUAAAUCAAGUUAAAUUCAAUUAAAAAUUCAAAUUUUUCAUAACACUGUAGCCAUUUUAAGUUAGUUGAACAUUCAAAUUUACUUUAGUUGUUCAAACGGAAAUGGUUUAGGUAGAAUUAGGGGACUCGAUUCCCAUCAGCCCUUGCAGGACUUGUACAAUUUAUUUUUGGACUUGUUUGUUAAUUGUGCUGUUGUUUUGUGUAUGUGCGGUUGCACACGUGUGUUGUGUUUGCUUGUCUCUUGUGCCCCCGCCUGCUCCCUUACAUGUGUUCUCCUUGUGUUGUGUGUGCCCCCCACCCCGUUCGGUGGUCAGUCUGCGGAUGCGAUCUCCCUCCCUUCUCCUUCUGUAUACAUUUCUGCAUCUGCACUGGCAGCCAAUAAAAUAGAUUGUUGAUUGCACAUUCUGUUGUUUAAAUGAAAUAAAAAAUGUUCAAUCUAACUUGACUAUUAAAAAGUAA